UACGGAGGGUGCGAGCGUUGUCCGGAAUCAUUGGGCGUAAAGGGCGCGUAGGUGGCCCGGUCAGUCCGUGGUGAAAGCGCGGGGCUCAACCCCGCGUCGGCCAUGGAUACUGCUGGGCUUGAGCACUGUAGAGGCAGGCGGAAUUCCGGGUGUAGCGGUGGAAUGCGUAGAGAUCCGGAAGAACACCGGUGGCGAAGGCGGCCUGCUGGGCAGUAGCUGACACUGAGGCGCGACAGCGUGGGGAGCAGACAGG
rnacentral:rRNA from 1 species